GAGUCCCCGGAUUUCUGCAUUAUUAGACAACAAGGAAAAGGAUAAGGACAGCAAAAACUACGUUGCCCCCAUAACCCCUAGAAGACUAAGCAGUACGGAUGACAUAGAA